rnacentral:rRNA from 1 species
UGCGAAGGGGGCUAGCGUUGCUCGGAAUCACUGGGCGUAAAGGGUGCGUAGGCGGGUUUUUAAGUCAGAGGUGAAAUCCUGGAGCUCAACUCCAGAACUGCCUUUGAUACUGGAGAGCUUGAGUCCGGAAGAGGUGAGUGGAACUCCGAGUGUAGAGGUGAAAUUCGUAGAUAUUCGGAAGAACACCAGUGGCGAAGGCGGCUCACUGGUCCGGUACUGACGCUGAGGUGCGAAAGCGUGGGGAGCAAACAGG